CCCUGACAGCUACGUGGUGUAGCUGACCAACCCAGACAGGAGAUCGACAUG
rnacentral:sRNA from 12 species